AUUGAACGCUGGCGGCAGGCCUAACACAUGCAAGUCGAGCGGAAGAAGGGAGCUUGCUUCUGGAUUCAGCGGCGGACGGGGGAGUAAUGCCUAGGAAUCUGCGUGGUAGUGGGGGAGAACGUCCGGAAACGGGCGCUAAUACCGCAUACGCCCUGAGGGAGAAAGAGGGGGAUCUUCGGACCUCACGCUAUCAGAGGAGCCUAGGUCGGAUUAGCUAGUUGGUGGGGUAAAGGCCUACCAAGGCGACGAUCCGUAACUGGUCUGAGAGGAUGAUCAGUCACACUGGAACUGAGACACGGUCCAGACUCCUACGGGAGGCAGCAGUGGGGAAUAUUGGACAAUGGGCGCAAGCCUGAUCCAGCCAUGCCGCGUGUGUGAAGAAGGUCUUCGGAUUGUAAAGCACUUUAAGUUGGGAGGAAGGGUAGUAAGUUAAUACCUUGCUGUUUUGACGUUACCAACAGAAUAAGCACCGGCUAACUUCGUG
rnacentral:rRNA from 1 species